CAUGCAGUCGAGCGGCAGCGGGGGGAAGCUUGCUUCCCCGCCGGCGAGCGGCGGACGGGUGAGUAAUGUCUGGGGAUCUGCCUGAUGGAGGGGGAUAACUACUGGAAACGGUAGCUAAUACCGCAUAACGUCGCAAGACCAAAGUGGGGGACCUUCGGGCCUCACGCCAUCGGAUGAACCCAGAUGGGAUUAGCUAGUAGGUGAGGUAACGGCUCACCUAGGCGACGAUCCCUAGCUGGUCUGAGAGGAUGACCAGCCACACUGGAACUGAGACACGGUCCAGACUCCUACGGGAGGCAGCAGUGGGGAAUAUUGCACAAUGGGGGAAACCCUGAUGCAGCCAUGCCGCGUGUGUGAAGAAGGCCUUCGGGUUGUAAAGCACUUUCAGCGGGGAGGAAGGGAACAAGGUUAAUAACCUUGUUCAUUGACGUUACCCGCAGAAGAAGCACCGGCUAACUCCGUGCCAGCAGCCGCGGUAAUACGGAGGGUGCAAGCGUUAAUCGGAAUGACUGGGCGUAAAGCGCACGCAGGCGGUCUGUUAAGUUGGAUGUGAAAUCCCCGGGCUUAACCUGGGAACUGCAUUCAAAACUGACAGGCUAGAGUCUCGUAGAGGGGGGUAGAAUUCCAGGUGUAGCGGUGAAAUGCGUAGAGAUCUGGAGGAAUACCGGUGGCGAAGGCGGCCCCCUGGACGAAGACUGACGCUCAGGUGCGAAAGCGUGGGGAGCAAACAGGAUUAGAUACCCUGGUAGUCCACGCUGUAAACGAUGUCGAUUUGGAGGUUGUGCCCUUGAGGCGUGGCUUCCGGAGCUAACGCGUUAAAUCGACCGCCUGGGGAGUACGGCCGCAAGGUUAAAACUCAAAUGAAUUGACGGGGGCCCGCACAAGCGGUGGAGCAUGUGGUUUAAUUCGAUGCAACGCGAAGAACCUUACCUACUCUUGACAUCCAGCGAACCCUGUAGAGAUACGGGGGUGCCUUCGGGAGCGCUGAGACAGGUGCUGCAUGGCUGUCGUCAGCUCGUGUUGUGAAAUGUUGGGUUAAGUCCCGCAACGAGCGCAACCCUUAUCCUCUGUUGCCAGCACUUCGGGUGGGAACUCAGGGGAGACUGCCGGUGAUAAACCGGAGGAAGGUGGGGAUGACGUCAAGUCAUCAUGGCCCUUACGAGUAGGGCUACACACGUGCUACAAUGGCGCAUACAAAGAGAAGCGACCUCGCGAGAGCAAGCGGACCUCAUAAAGUGCGUCGUAGUCCGGAUUGGAGUCUGCAACUCGACUCCAUGAAGUCGGAAUCGCUAGUAAUCGUAGAUCAGAAUGCUACGGUGAAUACGUUCCCGGGCCUUGUACACACCGCCCGUCACACCAUGGGAGUGGGUUGCAAAAGAAGUAGGUAGCUUAACCUUCGGGAGGGCGCUACCACUUGAUA
rnacentral:rRNA from 1 species